GACUGGCUAAUGGGUGUGGGGUUUCUUCUUGAGGUGAUGAAAAUGUUCAGAAUUAGUGAUGUAGUUGUACAAUCUUGUGACUACUAAAAGCCAUGGAAUUAUACAGUUUAAAAGGGUGAAUUUAGGCAGGGCACGACAAGGAGACUCCAUCUCAAAAAAAAAAAAAAAAGGCAGGGUGAAUUUUAUGGUAUGUGAAUCGUAUCUAAAGGUCACAGCAUAAUUCAUUUUCUUCACAAGUGAUUACGACCCAGGCAGGUAUGUCUACCAUACACAACGAGUGACGGGUUUCAUCACGCACACUCCUGCAGGUUCUGCGGAGGAACUGGGAGCCACCGCUACACGGGAAUGAAAUGUGUCCUAACUUGAAUGCAUCCUAGGUUAACAGCCUGCCCAUUCCUGGGACAGGUCCCGGCCUGACUACUCCAGCCCCGCGUGCUGGUGGGGCUGUUUACACAUGAGGACCAGUGCCGCUUGCCUCUGUGGCACUCCCAGGGCGGUGGCCACGCUCAGGCUCACCCACACGCAAGAGAGGUAGGAAGGCCACAGGGCAGGACCCACAGCCCGUUACAGGGAGUGGCAGGGCUGCCCUGAAGUAGGGUCCCCAAAGCAGCCCAGGGGACAGUCUCAUGCCCCCCAGCUAUGGCUCAGGGACCAGGGAAUGGAACCACAUCCAGGGUGGCGGGUGCAGGAGGCGCACUCUGACUUAGCAGCCCCAGUCCCCGAACAGGAAGUGAGGUCUCUUGUAAGAGCGCUGGGCUCUGGCUCAGGGGCUCCUGCAUCUCCAGCACUUCCCAUGAGGAGGCGCGGAGGCCACGCUCAGCUCCUACCCAGGGUGCUCGCUAGCCUCCCCGGCAGACUGCCUUUCCCUGAAGGUGCCACCUUCAGCAGAGCGCAUACCACCCUGUGGCACAGCUAAUGCUGAUGCUCCGGCCCAAGGGGGAGUGGGCAAAGUGGCCAAAGGCAUGAUUCCACCCUCCCUCCACAGAGCAGGGAGGGUGUCUGGCAACCCCUUUAUUCCCACAGACAGAAACAAACACUCAGACGGCACAGCACAAGCACGGCUGUCCCCUAGCCACACGGCAGACAGGACAGGAGCCACGUGUCCUCUGGCCGCCCGGGCAGGUCUAGUGCCACCGGAAUGAAGAACAGUUUAACUCUACAGCCCCCUGCUCUGCUUUUCCCUUCAGUUCUGCCAUUUCCUACGUCAUCUGGGGCUACUUCAUUUUCUUCUGUGCCUCGGUUUACUCAACUGUGUAAGGGAGAUGGCGGCAGCACAGCUGUCCCCUCCAUCCAUGGUUUUUCUUUCCAUGGUUUCAGUUACCCGAGGUAAAGUGGGGUCUGAAAAUAUUAAAUGGAAAAUUCCAGAAAUGAACAAGUCAUAAGUUUUGAACUGCAUGCUGUUCUGAGUAGCGUGAUGAAACCUCCCAAGGUCCUACUCCGACCAGCCCAGGAGGCGACUCCUCCCUCUGUCCAGCACCUCCACAGUGUAGACGCGCCCCACUCGUUAGUUACUCAGCAGCCGUCUCGGUGAUCAGAUCCACUGUCGUCGUACAGCAGUGCUUGUGUCUGAGUAACCCUUAUUUACUUGGUAAUGGUUGCAAAAUACAAGAUUAGAGAUGCUGGCAUAUUGUUACACUUGUUCUAUUUUAUUAGUUAUCAUUGCUAGUCUCUCAUGCCUAAUUUAUAAACUUUAUCAUAGCUAAAAAUGAAAAGUUGUCCCUUGGUAUCGAUAGGAGGUUGGUUCCAGGACUCCUACAGAUACCAACAUUUCAGGAUGCUCAAAUCCUUUAUAUAAAAUGGUGUAACAGGCUGGGCGCGGUGGCUCACGCCUGUAAUCCCAGGACUUUGGGAGGCCAAGACGGGCGGAUCACCUGAGGUUGGGAGUUCCAGAACAGCCUGACCAAAAUGGAGAAACUCCAUCCCUACUAAAAAUACAAAAAAAAUUAGCCGGGCGUGGUGGCACAUGCCUAUAAUGCCAGCUACUCAGGAGGCUGAGGCAGGAGAAUUCCUUGAACCAAGGAGGCAGAGGUUGCAGUGAGCUGAGAUUGCGCCACUGCACUCCAGCCUGGGCAACAAGAAUGAAACUCCGUCUCAAAAAAAAAAAAAAAACAACAGGCCAAGGAUAGUGGCUCACGCCUGUAAUCCCAGCACUUUGGGAGGCUGAGGUGGGUGGAUCUGAGGUGAAGAGAUUGAGACCAUCCUGGCCAACAUGGGAGACCUCAUCUCUACUAAAAAUA
rnacentral:lncRNA from 10 species